CAGCAGCCGCGGGAAAACGAAGGGGGCUAGCGUUGCUCGGAAUCACUGGGCGUAAAGGGUGCGUAGGCGGGUCUUUAAGUCAGUGGUGAAAUCCUGGAGCUCAACUCCAGAACUGCCUUUGAUACUGAAGAUCUUGAGUAUGGGAGAGGUGAGUGGAACUGCGAGUGUAGAGGUGAAAUUCGUAGAUAUUCGCAAGAACACCAGUGGCGAAGGCGGCUCACUGGCCCAUAACUGACGCUGAGGCACGAAAGCGUGGGGAGCAAACAGGAUUAGAUACCCCGGUAGUCCCUGUCCUUAUACA
rnacentral:rRNA from 1 species